rfam:Deinococcus sp. LM3 Deinococcus_sp_LM3_contig1, whole genome shotgun sequence.
CAGUCGCCCCCAGAGGGGCUGCACUCCGGACGAGAGCACCGCCGUACCCGGUCAAGACAAGACGGCGCGAC